GUUAAAGAUAGUAAGAUGUUUUCAUUAUGAACCCCACCCCCCAUCUCAUUUUCCACCACAAAUGCAACUCGAAAGUUGUGACUUGUGAGAAGACAUUAUCUUAAGCUCUAUGCAUGCUCCUCAAUUACAAGACAUCAUCAUGCUUUGCCAAAACCUCAUAAUGCCACUCGAAAGUUGGGCUCACGAUAGAUUUGAUUUAAUUGAAUCAAGCUUUCACCUUUUUUAUUUAUAGAUCAAUCAUGAGAAUACGACUAUAUAAUAGCUUUUCUCUUUCCCUCUUUUCUGACCAUGAAAGUAUUGAACGAGUUUACAGCUACCAUGCAGCAACCAAGUUACAUCAUACAAGAUAUACAUGGACCAAGUAUUCAAGUUGAAGAACCAGUUUGCGGGCAGAAUGGACUAGCUGGCUUCUUGCAUGCCAUAGUCUUAUUCAUGAAACUUUCAAACCAGAAACUGGUUAUGCUCUUCAAUUGACUAAAAGCACGAGGCUUUGCGCAUUAUGGAUGGAAAUUUUUCUGGCAUGGUUGGUCAACACCCAUCAUUCAGGAUAAACUGUUAAGCAGAAAGUCAAGGCCUCAUCUGGAUCUUAAAAUGUUUAUUGUUUGUAUACGGGCUUAUGAAAUAUUCACAUUUACAGGCUAAACAAGACUCCCUCUGUAUGAUGUUUUAGAAAGAAAAUAAAUUGUUCCAAAUUAGUUUUCUUUUUACAAAAUCAAUGAUGCAUUUUUUUUUUACUGCAAACCAAUGAUAAGAAAUGCUAAUUCCCUUGUGAGAA